AUGCAUAGUGUGGCCAAAAUCAUCUGCAAAGUGCUUGCCAGCCGCCUUGGCCCUGAAUUGCAAAAACUUGUGUCAGUCACUCAGAGCACCUUCAUUCUAGGAAGAUCAAUCCAGGACAAUUUUCUUUAUGUUAAGAACGUCAUCAAGGAUGCACAUCAAAAGAAGAAGAGCCUGCUUUUCCUCAAGCUUGACUUUGUAAAUGCUUUUGACUCGAUUGGUUGGGGAUAUCUGCUACAGGUCAUGGAGAGUUAUGGCUUUGGCCAGAAAUGGAGGAAUAUGGUCUGCAUCUUGCUCGCCUCGGCCUCCUCACAUGUGCUCCUUAAUGGAUCAACAGGCGUUCCUUUCCAGCACCACUGUGGCUUCCGGCAGGGAGACCCCCUUUCGCCGAUGCUUUUCAUCCUUGCCUUGGAUCCGCUUCAAAAGAUCCUGAACCGUGCAACAAGCUUGCCGAUCCUAUCCCCUAUGCUAAUUCCCUCUGCUAGGCUACGAGUGAGUUUCUAUGCUGACGACACUGCCUUGUUCAUUCAGCCAAACAUCUCAGACCUGAGGGUAGUGCUCUCCAUCCUUAAGCUUUUUACUGACGUCUCGGGACUCAAGAUCAACCCUACAAAAUGCGUAGCGUACCCAGUCAAAUGUGACAGCUCUGAUCUUGUUUCCCUUCUGGAGGCUUUCGGAGGCUCUUUGGGAUCCCUACCCUGUAGAUACCUGGGACUACCACUCUCGCUACGAAAACCAAGAAGAAUUGAGGUUCAGCCUCUAUUGGAUAAGCUUGCCGUAUGCCUUUGA
rnacentral:rRNA from 1 species